rnacentral:rRNA from 1 species
GACGAACGCUGGCGGCGUGCUUAACACAUGCAAGUCGUACGGUAAGGCCCUUUCGGGGGUACACGAGUGGCGAACGGGUGAGUAACACGUGAGUAACCUGCCCACAACUUUGGGAUAACGCUAGGAAACUGGUGCUAAUACUGGAUAUGUGCUCCUGCUGCAUGGUGGGGGUUGGAAAGCUCCGGCGGUUGUGGAUGGACUCGCGGCCUAACAGCUUGUUGGUGGGGUAGUGGCCUACCAAGGCGGCGACGGGUAGCCGGCCUGAGAGGGUGACCGGCCACAUUGGGACUGAGAUACGGCCCAGGCUCCUACGGGAGGCAGCAGUGGGGAAUAUUGCACAAUGGGCGCAAGCCUGAUGCAGCAACGCCGCGUGCGGGAUGACGGCCUUCGGGUUGUAAACCGCUUUCAGCAGGGACGAAGCUUUUUGUGACGGUACCUGCAGAAGAAGCACCGGCUAACUACGUG